CGAGGGAAACUUGGAGAUUGUGAUUGAACUGCCAGUGCAGUGUGCAGUUGGAGCACAGGCUCAGGAUUCCAACUCACACAUAUUUGUAAUUAAGAAAGAAAUCUGACUCCCUGCUGUAAGGCCAGGUCAAUAGCACCGCUGGCCUCACCUCCGUCAGCUGCCACCAUAGUACUGCAGCGUCCUGUAGGGAGGCCCACAGGAGUAGCCAUUUGAGCGCAAACCUCAAAUCUGACA